rnacentral:lncRNA from 1 species
ACACGCCUGGCUACAGCCCUCCUCCUCACCUCCUCUCCUGCUGGCCCGAGGUGGGCAGGGCGGUCAGGAGCUCCUUAUAUAGGAAAUGUUUUGAAGUCACAGCAGACGGCCUGUGCCUGAACACUCUUUGUAACCCUCGCUCUACCAGCAGCGCAGCUCAUUCUGGAAGGCAAGAAGGGAUAAUACUGAAAGUGCCUGUUUUUUUCGCAGUGUGAAAGAAGAGCCUGUGCUUUGAGGAACGCCACCUCCUUUCCUUUUGUCUGUCCUGCUGUGGGGCCUGGCCCAGCUUCUCCAAGAACUGGCUCAGACACAGUGAGAGCCCAGGACUCAGCGCCGGUCACGGGGCCUCUCAAAGGGGACUGCAAACUGUCUGUGAAGGGAGGACCAUCCCUGCCGGGAACGGCUGAGCAGCAGCUGGGAGCCCCGGGAAGGGGGUAGGGGAGGGGAGAGUUUUUCUUCCUCUAGGGUUCCGGGACACACUGUGGU